AGAGAUGUGUGAUGACGCAUAUCAAUAAGCGGAGGAAAAGGAACUAACAAGGAUUCCCUUAGUAACGGCGAGUGAAGCGGGAAGAGCUCAAAUUUGAAAUCUUCAAGGUUCUACCUUGACGAAUUGUAGUUUAUAGAAGUGUUUUCUGUUAGUAGAGUGGCAAAAGUUCUUUGGAAUAGGACAUCAUAGAGGGUGAGAAUCCCGUAUUUGGUCAUUCUUUCUAGCUUUGUGAUACACUUUCAACGAGUCGGAUUGUUUGGGAAUGCAGUCCAAAAUGGGUGGUAAAUUUCAUCUAAAGCUAAAUAUUGGCGAGAGACCGAUAGCGAACAAGUACCGUGAGGGAAAGAUGAAAAGAACUUUGAAAAGAGAGUUAAACAGUACGUGAAAUUGUCAAAAGGGAAGCGUUUGACACCAGUGUUGUUUUUCCGAAAAUCAAUUACGAAUGUUUUAUUUUUGAGAAGUUAUGACUUCAUCGGCUUGCUUCUCUCUUUACUGAAACUUUCUUAAUGCACUUUUCAGGUUAACAAGUCAACAUCAAUUUCUUUUGUUGUAAAAGAGUAUGAGGAAGGUGGCUUUCUCUUCGGCGCAAGUGUUUAUAGCCGUUUACUCCUGCAAUCGGAGAGAUUGAGGUCUGCAGCGUAGAUCCUUCGGGGUUAGAUACAUUUGUGCUAAGCUAUAGCCUCUUCAUAGACAACUUGUUGACUAUGCUCAGUCAUGUAGCUUACUCGCUUAUGCUAUUUUACCUACGCUUAGGAUGUUGAUAGUCACAGCGUGUAC
rnacentral:rRNA from 1 species